rnacentral:rRNA from 1 species
CGCGUAGGCGGUUAUGUAAGUCAGGGGUGAAAUCCCAGAGCCUAACUCUGGAACGGCCUCUGAGACUGCGUAGCUAGAGAACGGAAGAGGUGAGUGGAAUUCCCAGUGUAGAGGUGAAAUUCGUAGAUAUUGGGAAGAACACCGGUGGCGAAGGCGGCUCACUGGUCCGUUUCUGACGCUGAGGCGCGAAAGCGUGGGGAGCAAACAGGAUUAGAUACCCUGGUAGUCCACGCCGUAAACGAUGAGUGCUAGACGUUGGGCAGCGUGCUGCUCAGUGUCGCAGCUAACGCGUUAAGCACUCCGCCUGGGGAUACGGCCGCAAGGUUAAA